rnacentral:rRNA from 1 species
UGCCAGACUCCUACGGGAGGCAGCAGUGAGGAAUAUUGGUCAAUGGGAGAGAUCCUGAACCAGCCAAGCCGCGUGAGGGAAGACGGCCCUAUGGGUUGUAAACCUCUUUUGUCGGAGAACAAAACCCGGGACGUGUCCCGGACUGCGUGUAUCCGAAGAAAAAGCAUCGGCUAACUCCGUGCCAGCAGCCGCGGUAAUACGGAGGAUGCGAGCGUUAUCCGGAUUUAUUGGGUUUAAAGGGAGCGUAGGUGGAUUGCUAAGUCAGUUGUGAAAAUUUGCGGCUCAACCGUAAAAUUGCAGUUGAAACUGGCAGUCUUGAGUACAGUAGAGGUGGGCGGAAUUCGUGGUGUAGCGGUGAAAUGCUUAGAUAUCACGAAGAACUCCGAUUGCGAAGGCAGCUCACUGGACUGCAACUGACACUGAUGCUCGAAAGUGUGGGUAUCAAACAGGAUUAGAUACCCCGGUACG